rnacentral:tRNA from 1 species
AUCUUUUUAGUAUAACAGUAUAUUUGGCUUCCAACCAAAAGGUCUAAUUAUUUUAGAAAAGAUA